UACGUAGGGUGCGAGCGUUAAUCGGAAUUACUGGGCGUAAAGCGUGCGCAGGCGGUGAUGUAAGACCGAUGUGAAAUCCCCGGGCUUAACCUGGGAACUGCAUUGGUGACUGCAUUGCUGGAGUAUGGCAGAGGGGGGUGGAAUCCCACGUGUAGCAGUGAAAUGCGUAGAGAUGUGGAGGAACACCGAUGGCGAAGGCAGCCCCCUGGGCCAAUACUGACGCUCAUGCACGAAAGCGUGGGGAGCAAACAGG
rnacentral:rRNA from 1 species